UCACUGAGAUCCACACUGCCCCCUCGCAGGUGGCAGCCCAGCCCCAGGGCUGAGGGGCUGCGCUGGGGCAGGCGAGCUCCUGGCUCCAAGUCUGCCUGGGCCCUGCCAGGCCCUCGCCUAGGCUGAGGGGAAAACAAAGGGCUGGGGAAACGUGGAAGCCUUGUAGAAGAUGGCCAACUUAACAACCACCUCCCUGUCUUCAGAGAGGGAGGGAGUCCCCCUGUGUGAGGGAAGCAGACAAGCAAGGCCCUGAGGAGAAGUGUAGAGGCAAUGAAUGGCUUAGAGCACAGGCUGGAGCUGCUGGUCAAUCAGGCUGUUAAUUUUAAUUUUCAUGUUGGCUGUUGAGGUGGUGUUUUCACUUAAAGCUCAUCAUCAUCACCUGUGUCUCCUGAAGUGGUCCUCCAUGUUUUUAUGCUGAUGUGUGCUUGGUGUCAAGCUGAUAUUAGUUUUACUAAGCAUGAAGGUCUCAUGAACUUGUUGAUUAAUUAGAUUCUCUUUAAACAUUUCUUGUGUUUGGAUAUCCAUGAGAUCUUAAAAACUUUGAAACAGUAUUUCUUUAACAGUACAUUGGAGAUAUAUGCUCCCUUUUGGCUGUGAUCAAAGAUUGCCAAUCAACUGAAGAAGUUAUUAUUGUAUGUACAAUUAAAUUCUUUACACAAGCUAUGCUGAAAAGUUUGUGUUAAGGCCUUCUUGGCCAGAAAUGGUUUCUCAGCAGUUGAUGAAGGAGGGGAGGGAGAGCAGGAGGCAAGGACAACAGAAACUGGAAAGAAAGAAAAAAUAAUGACAGGCAGGAGGAGCAGUCUCAUGGAGAGGGAGUUACCUACAUGGCAGUCACUGAAAACACCUCUCAAGUUUUCACAGAUUCUUGCAGCUGGAUCAGGAGGUGUUGAUCUCCUGUGGCCUACUGUGUAGCAUGGAGAGCUGCAGAUAUCACCAAGGGAUUUUUGCACCAGAUCUGCAACAGAUUUAAGAUAAAAACCUGGUCUCAGUUUAGAUGUUGAGGGUCAAAGGAUAUGCUGUGUCUCUAGGUAAAGUAUUGGAAUGGAAAGGUGCACUUGCCAUUGAAUAACAGAAACUUCACUGAAUCUCCAGCCAAUCAAUCUUGAUUAUAAGAAAAUGCAUCACUUAUAAGUAUUUAUAAACAGGUUUGCUGAGGUGAGGGGCCCGCAUAUUUUCACCAUGACCUAGCAAAGCCAAGGGGUCUGGAGAAGUCACCUGGCUCCAUCCUGCCUGUAGUACAGCCAUUUUUCAGACUUUAGUUCUCAUGUGAUAUAGGGACUUUUAAUUUAUUUUUUUUUUCAGCUACUGUGUAAUAAAACGAGUAUGCUUAUGAAGCA
rnacentral:lncRNA from 1 species